CAAACUAAAGAUGGCGACCGGCGCACGGGUGAGUAACACGUAUCCAACCUGCCGAUAACUCGGGGAUAGCCUUUCGAAAGAAAGAUUAAUAUCCGAUGGUAUAUUAAAACCGCAUGGUUUUACUAUUAAAGAAUUUCGGUUAUCGAUGGGGAUGCGUUCCAUUAGGCAGUUGGUGAGGUAACGGCUCACCAAACCUUCGAUGGAUAGGGGUUCUGAGAGGAAGGUCCCCCACAUUGGAACUGAGACACGGUCCAA
rnacentral:rRNA from 1 species